GUGAUGGUUUGCUGUAGCCUCCACAGGACACCCCUGGGGACAUGGCAAGCUCUGCUCUGAGUGUCUCCACGCAGGGCAAGUGGUCUUGUGCGACUUUGUGUGCCAGAGAGAACUUUGAGCAGCCUGUGGCCUGCUUGGUGAGGAGGUGUUCCAGCCUUGUGAGUCAUUGGCUGACCUGGAAUGACAUCUCCUAUGCUUAGCCAAGUGGUUCUUGGGUGCCUGAGUUUAUGGCCCUGCGGGGAAGCUGGAGGCCUUUCAGAUGCAGACCAAAAGUCAUCACCUGGCUUACUUCGAGUGUGGCAAGGACAAUUCUGGACCCCACUCUCUCUUCCCCAUCAAAACCAACAGAUUCCUGGGGAGGCGGCUGUCAGAGACCAGUGGAAUGAGUUCUCUGCCUGAGAUUUGGCAUGUAUCCCAAGGAUUCCUGCAUGUGGAACACCCCCUCCUCAGCAGAAAACACAACGGUGCCGUGGGCUCCUAUUCCUUUUGAAUAGCAUGGAAUCUGGGGCUAGUACCAGGUCCCAGCAGUCAUGCUGCUGUCCCCAUCAUGCUUGUCACCAAAAUUUCUUGGUGACCUUCCCCCUACUGCCACACAUAGCCACUCAGGAGAUUUCUGGACAUUUCUCCUAUGUGUACUCAGGAGGGGCCUGGUGCUCUGGGAAAUGUGGCAUUCUCUGAACACCAGCACACACCAUUGGACCCUGAUUGUGUCAGACACCAGGGUCAUUUGCCGUGGGCCGUGUAUGAACUUUACCUGGUG